GAUGCCCAGCUUGCUGGGCGGAUCAGUGGCGAACGGGUGAGUAACACGUGAGUAACCUGCCCCAGACUCCGGGAUAAGCCUUGGAAACGAGGUCUAAUACUGGAUACGAGACGCCCCUGCAUGGGGAGUGUCUGGAAAGAUUUAUCGGUCUGGGAUGGACUCGCGGCCUAUCAGCUUGUUGGUGGGGUAAUGGCCUACCAAGGCGACGACGGGUAGCCGGCCUGAGAGGGCGACCGGCCACACUGGGACUGAGACACGGCCCAGACUCCUACGGGAGGCAGCAGUGGGGAAUAUUGCACAAUGGGCGAAAGCCUGAUGCAGCGACGCCGCGUGAGGGAUGAAGGCCUUCGGGUUGUAAACCUCUUUCAGCAGGGAAGAAGCGCAAGUGACGGUACCUGCAGAAGAAGCGCCGGCUAACUACGUGCCAGCAGCCGCGGUAAUACGUAGGGCGCAAGCGUUGUCCGGAAUUAUUGGGCGUAAAGAGCUCGUAGGCGGUUUGUCGCGUCUGGUGUGAAAACUCAAGGCUCAACCUUGAGCUUGCAUCGGGUACGGGCAGACUAGAGUGCGGUAGGGGUGACUGGAAUUCCUGGUGUAGCGGUGGAAUGCGCAGAUAUCAGGAGGAACACCGAUGGCGAAGGCAGGUCACUGGGCCGCAACUGACGCUGAGGAGCGAAAGCAUGGGGAGCGAACAGGAUUAGAUACCCUGGUAGUCCAUGCCGUAAACGUUGGGCACUAGGUGUGGGGCUCAU
rnacentral:rRNA from 1 species